GGUUUUGCUCUCUCUCUCUCUCUCUCUCUCUCUCGUGUCUGUGUAUGGUUUCUUGACUGUGUUUUCUUCAAGUGAAGCUUCUUUUGGAUAACUAUAUUCCUUUUAAAAAUGUUUUAAACGUCCUUAUAACUUCAAUGAUCUAUUCUUUUUAGAUAUUAUAUUAGAGAGCUACUCCAGGUCACCCUUCCUUGCAGCAGAUCCUAACAGCUUCCAGGAUCCUCGUGGUAGGGGAGAACAUCAAGGCUCAAUCGCUCCAUAGGAUAGAAGUUUUUGUACAUAGUUUGUGCAAGUGAAGUUAUUCAGAUUUUGGAGUAGUUAUUCGUGCACGCUGGCGGAAUAAUGUGCUGAUUUGCAGAUGAAAAGUCGUUCGCUGCUGCUCAGAAAAGCUGUAGUUGCUUUGUUUUUUGUUAGUGUUGUGGACAUCUUUGAUAGAAAAUUAGAGGUUUUGCUAGUAAUGCUUGUAAAUGGUAAGACUGUUUUGAUAACGCCAUGGUAUUUUAUCAUCUUAUAUAGAAUAGCUGAAAGCUGAUUGGUAUUUUUUUUCAGUGAAAAAUAUGGCAGGGAAAAAGUUUAGA